UGGGGAAUAUUGCACAAUGGGCGCAAGCCUGAUGCAGCCAUGCCGCGUGUAUGAAGAAGGCCUUCGGGUUGUAAAGUACUUUCAGCGAGGAGGAAGGCGUUGUGGUUAAUAACCGCAACGAUUGACGUUACUCGCAGAAGAAGCACCGGCUAACUCCGUGCCAGCAGCCGCGGUAAUACGGAGGGUGCAAGCGUUAAUCGGAAUUACUGGGCGUAAAGCGCACGCAGGCGGUCUGUCAAGUCGGAUGUGAAAGCCCCGGGCUCAACCUGGGAACUGCAUCCGGAACUGGCAGGCUAGAGUCUUGUAGAGGGGGGUAGAAUUCCAGGUGUAGCGGUGAAAUGCGUAGAGAUCUGGAGGAAUACCGGUGGCGAAGGCGGCCCCCUGGACAAAGACUGACGCUCAGGUGCGAAAGCGUGGGGAGCAAACA
rnacentral:rRNA from 1 species